rnacentral:rRNA from 1 species
GAUGAACGCUGGCGGCGUGCCUAAUACAUGCAAGUCGAGCGAACAGACGAGGAGCUUGCUCCUCUGACGUUAGCGGCGGACGGGUGAGUAACACGUGGAUAACCUACCUAUAAGACUGGGAUAACUUCGGGAAACCGGAGCUAAUACCGGAUAAUAUAUUGAACCGCAUGGUUCAAUAGUGAAAGACGGUUUUGCUGUCACUUAUAGAUGGAUCCGCGCCGCAUUAGCUAGUUGGUAAGGUAACGGCUUACCAAGGCAACGAUGCGUCGCCGACCUGAGAGGGUGAUCGGCCACACUGGAACUGAGACACGGUCCAGACUCCUACGGGAGGCAGCCGUAGGGAAUCUUCCGCAAUGGGCGAAAGCCUGACGGAGCAACGCCGCGUGAGUGAUGAAGGUCUUCGGAUCGUAAAACUCUGUUAUUAGGGAAGAACAAAUGUGUAAGUAACUAUGCACGUCUUGACGGUACCUAAUCAGAAAGCCACGGCUAACUACGUG